UCAGGACGAACGCUGGCGGUGUGCUUCAUACAUGCAAGUCGAACGAUAAGGUCCCUUCGGGGAUACAUAAGUGGCGGACGGGUGAGUAACACGUAGAAAAUCUACCUCGAGGAAGGGGACAACAGUUGGAAACGACUGCUAAUACCCUAUAUGAGCUGGGCUGAAACGCCUAUCUUGAAAGUUCCGGCGCCUUGAGAUGAGUCUGCGUCUGAUUAGCUAGUUGGUGGGGUAAAUGCCUACCAAGGCGACGAUCAGUAGCUGGUUUGAGAGGAUGACCAGCCACAAUGGGACUGAGACACGGCCCAUACUCCUACGGGAGGCAGCAGUAGGGAAUUUUGCGCAAUGGGGGAAACCCUGACGCAGCAACACCGCGUGAACGACGAAGCCCUUCGGGGUGUAAAGUUCUGUCAGUAGGGACGAAUUUUGACGGUACCUACAAAGGAAGCAUCGGCUAACUACGUGCCAGCCGCAGC
rnacentral:rRNA from 1 species